GGCUCUCUCUUGAUCUAAAAUUUCGUGGUUCUUAUUCUUCAUUUUGGUUACCAAUCCGAUCUUUCUUUCUUGAUGGGUUUUCUUAAACCAUCGUAAAUCUUGAAUAGAGUUUGAUGCUGAUCAUUGCAAAGAACUACAAAUGAUGUUUAUGUAACAGGGAAUGAAGAAUCGCAAUUUACGUGACCUGUAUCCACCGUGCUACUAUCAUUGUUUCGAAAAAUUAGAUUAUGAUUAACAAAUCCAGUCGAUUUUUUGUCCUUAAGUUUUGUGAUGGUUAGCUUAAACGUUUACGGGAUGUCCCUUUUUUGCCCCCCUUUCUUGUGAAUGUAAUGGAGGGCCGAAGUCUCUAUUAGAGGAAAAAGGAGAAAAAAUUUACAGGUUCCCUGUAAAGUAGGGAGAAAAGAAGAGGAAAAUGGGAUGUCGGAUGAUUAAAAAUGUGGGAUUUUUUAGUUCAUUUUAGUUCAAAAAUUUUAAAAAAAUGACAUUUUUGGUGGAUGAGUUUAUUGGUAAUAUAGGCAGUAGUUUGGAGGGUGAUAGGCUGUUGAGGGUCACGGAUUUAGAAUUUCAACAGAGAUGAACAGGGUGUUGUCUCAGAUAGAUGAUGUUAUAGUCUUUUUAUCACCUGAUCAAAAUCUAAUUUUUGAUCGCAAUGAGAUGGAACAGAGGAUUUUUUAUUUUUUAUUUGCUGUAAUUUUGCUAUAGGAGCAUCCGACAAGAGACAAAAAUGGCAGAAUUAUGGAGCCUUGUAAGUUACCUCUCAAGCAAUUGAACUUGGAAAAAAGAAACUUGGGUCUCAGCAUCAACCAGCAUGCCUAUUUUGCUACAAUAGGAGCAUCCUACAAGAGACAAAAAUAGCAAAAUAGUGAAGCCUGAUAAGUUACCUCUCAAGCAAUUGAACUGGGAAAAUUGAAAAAUGAAACUUGGGUCUGAGCAUAACCCAACAUGCCUUAUUGAAAACGUGUGGAGUUGGGCUUACUUUCUUUCAACAUCCAUUCCUAGUAACUGUCUACAACCUUCUUCCAACAAAAAAAGGAAAUCAUCACUUCCAUCCAUUUUUUUUAGGUACCAUCCUUUGUGUUUUUGACCAUUAAAUUCUAAUAACUAUUUAUUGUGAUCUCUUUGAAUUCUCUUCUGGGUAUAUGCGUAGCUCUGCCUCCAUUAUCCUUGAACUAUACUGGUACAACUAAUGAUUCAUAUAAUAUUCUAGCUUCCACCAUACUUAUUCCUAGUUUUUUACACAUCCAUCAUUCUCAUCAUACGUAUUAUCUGUCUAGACUUAGUCCUAGUUUUUAACACAUCCAUCAUUCUCAUCUUGUGUAUUAUCUGCCUAGACCUUAUUUAGUGCUCCAAAUUUUUGUUGGUAGUACUAGCCACAUCAUUGCAUCAUUAUGUUAUCCUUUAGUCUGUACAAAGAUAAGACAAAAGUAUACCUCCUUUCUCAUGUAUAAUAGAUCAAACAUAAAGGAAGUUAUCACAAAGGAGCACUUCUUGGUCCUUUAUGCUCACCAAGACUAUAUUUGACUUUAAUAUCCACUUCGUGCACAAGCAAAUGACCUCCCAAAUAUAUGAUUUAGGUUUCUAGGUAUUUUGAUAACAUAGAUUAUGACCAAUAGUGUGAAUUUUCCAUCCAGAAUGUCCAUCUCUGAUUUUGAAUUGAUAGAUUUUGUUUCAAUCCUUCUGGAAAGAAUGUCCAUCUCACUCUCACUCUAGCAUAUAUCUAUGUACAUAUAGUUGUGCAACCAUGUUGUAAUAACUGGUCACGUAAAACCUAUUACACCACUUCCAAUGGAUCCAAAAGCUAAUAGUUAGGGCCUGUUAGCAUGAAGCCACAAACACAUCAACUUAGUAACUAUUCUUAAAUGAAGUAAUUAAUAAUGCUUUGACAAUUCAUCUUCGAGCUUUAUUUUUCAAAAAUAUUAUACAUAUUGCUGUAGAAGGAUUAAAGUCUUUCAUUGUGGUGGUGCGCCAGCCUGGCAUUGGCAUGAUAAAAUUUUUACUAUGCCUUGCCAUGUGCCAUCUCAAUACUGGCACGGUUUGGAUGGCAGCAUGCCAAGUAGUGUGCAUGCCCCAUAUCAUGCCAAUGCAGCAUUGAGGUAAGGGACUGAACAAUAGCAAAUUGCAUAUUGUUCAGUGUUGUGCUUUGCUGGUUGGCACUUAAAUUAUGAAUGUUGUUGUCUCUGAUAACCUUUUCUCUGCUCUUGUGUUUUCAGGA
rnacentral:lncRNA from 1 species